AUUCAAAUUUGAAAACAAAUGCGAACGUUUGUCUUUUCAGUUUUAGGCCUACUAGAAAGUAGUGAAGGCUCCACUUAGGCCUACUAGAAAGUAGUGAACUCUCCACUUAGGCCUACUAGAAAGUAGUGAAGGCUCCACUUAGGCCUACGUUUUAACGAAAUAAAUGUAUUAUCGCAGUGCAAUAUUUUCGAAAUUAUGUCUUUUUUUUACGACACUUUUUUGUGUUCUAUUGUAUAAUGACGUAUUGCUCAUUUAUUUCAGCUAAUGCAUAUAGUUUGGUCUAAGAUCUAAAGAUUAUAAAUUGAUCUAAGAUCUAAGGAUUAGAGUGCUAAGAUUUAAUCAUUAUAGUUUAAGACCUUUGUAACAGAUUAUAUGCUGUAGACGACAGAAACUUAGGCCAAUAUAUGAGUGUUGACUUGCGAACGUUGUUCACCGGAUACAUGCUCUAAAUCCUUAUCAUACAUAUGACAGGAGAAACAGAUACAAGCUAACUUAUUGAUACAGCAUUAUACAUAACAAGUCAGAAAUGGACCAGCGACCCAAGACUCCAAAAGUUAUCAAAAACCUCAAUGAAAAAGACAUCAAAUAUGGUCAGUUUUACUUUGUAUCUGACCAAACCACUCAAAUCAGUCAAUUUUAUUGUCUACACAAUGAUGGAGCUACAGAACAUCGCCGUGAGGGGGACAAGAGAAAAAGAUCAAAGAAAGACAAACAAGAUACACACCCUGGAACACGUGCGGACGGUGCAAGUCCACGUAGAGCUGUCACUAUUGAUUCUUUGUCUCGAAAUUUUCAAAUACCGAACAAUGAAUCGGGAGCGAAACCAAAGCUCGUUAUCUGGUUACUCUGUAAUUUAAAAAGCCCAAAUGACCAGGGCAUAAACGCAACUGACACUACGGGUCAAAGCUCAAAAAGUGAAGAUAAAAAGGACCAUGGCGAGCUGAAAGCAAACAAAAAAUCCAUUCGAAUGUGGUGUAGAGAACUGAUAACAUUCAUCGCAAACACAGAAGCAUGGCUCAUAGCUGAAGGAGAAGACACAGAAUUUUUCCGUUACAUUGGCGACGCAAUCCGAGAUCAUCAGCUUGUCUCCAGAUGUAAAGACCCCAUUGUGUUUGGUCUUACGACUUGGCCGUAUAUUCAAACGGAUUUGUUUAAAGAGGUGGAACUUCAAAAUACUUUCAGCAUUACCAAAAUAAGCCAUACAAGAACAACAACCAAAACAAGAACAUGCCAUAACAUUGUGUACGAGAAGCCAGAUGGAUCAAAGAGAAAACUUAGUCCAAAUAUCAGAUACUACAUUUUCUCAGAAAACACAGACAAUUCUUCAGCAUUGAGACCAGGUUUAGAAAAAGAUAUAUUGGAAUGUGUUAUAGUCCUGAACAGUGCCAGCAUAUCUUCAAUUCAUGCACAACUGGAACAACAACAUAACAACACUCCAGUCAUUAACAUAUUGAAAUUUGGAGAAAAAUAUCGAAUUCAUCUAAGAAAAACAAAUCAAAUCAUAUCUUCAACAAGUUGUGAAGAAUCAGAAGCAGAACAGAAAGAAGCCACAGAAACAGGAAAAUGUGAUAUUUGUGAUAAUGAGUAUAGUUCCAACAAAUAUUCAAAGAAUGAAAACAGAAGAUGUGUUUUAAAAUUAUCAUCAUCCAGCAGAAUUGAUCAAGUUAUUUUGGAAGCCCUUACAACAGCAUCAAGCACUUCGGAUAAAAAGCAAGAUCUUCACAGGUUACUUUCUCUAUCGUUUGCCUCUGAUCAAUUUCCCAUUGUCCGAGACAAUAAGAAGAUGUGGCAAGAGAUGUUUUUCAAGAAAUACCUAUGGCUUGGGGUUGAAGCUGUAAAGUACAACCAGGUUAAGUUUAUUGAUGACAUCAUCCAGAGCAGGACUGACUUUAAGAAAGCUUUUAGCGAGCACCAAAUAGGAGAGCUUUAUAAUAGAGAGAAUACAUCAAGCAAUACUUCAAAAGAUCUGAAUGUAAAGCUUCUAGAACGAAUUGGACAAUACUGUGAUGCAAAAAGACUAGCUAUGUUUAUGCAUGUUACUGAUACAGAAGCUGCCAAAUUCUCCACUGACAAAAAUAAAAAUGCAUUCCAAGAUGUGUUCAUCUGGUCUUUGAUUUACAAUAAAUUGGAGUUAUCUUUUCUUCUUUGGGAAAAUGUAGCGCAUCACAUUGGUGCUGCUCUGUUUGCCUAUUAUGUAUUCAAAGUGAAGUACAAAGCUACAGAUGAGACAGGACAUAAGGAAAUACUCCAGAACAAUAUGAAAGACUAUUCCAGAAGGGCAGUUGAGAUUAUCAAUCUGAGCUAUAAGAAAAAUAAGCAUAAAACACUGGAUUUGCUGACAAUGAGAAUGAAGUGCUGGGGAGAAGCCAGCUGCAUAGAAAUGGCCAUAGAUCUGGAGAAUCUUGAGAUUUUGAACCACCCAGCUUGUAGAUUUCUGUGUAAAAGAUGUUGGUAUCAGGGUCAAAGUGAGAAACUUGUAGCCUUGAAGCAGAUGACUGAGACAAAUGAAUCACAAGAUGUGAUUAAACAGAGCACAGUUACAUCUGUUUGGAUGAAAUAUUUUUUUUCUCCCAUCAUCAUUUUCUGGUUUGAUUUUCUUGGUCUGAUCUUAUUUUUGAUGCUUUAUGCACUACUUUUGUUAACCAAACUGGAAAUGUCCAAGUUUCAUUGGAUAGAAUGGAUCUUGUGGUCUUGGAUCAUCACCUACACUCUGGAGGAUAUUUUCAGUAUAUUUGACAAUGUCUCAAGAGUGGUAAAAAGCAGAAGAAAAAUGGCUGAAAAUUCAUCCACUAAAAAAGUGCAUAAGUCAGCAUUAAUAUUUAUGUCUUUUCUUCGGGUCAUACGAAAAAGUCGUCCUUUUCAGAGAUUGGAGUUUGCUGCACUUCUUUUGUUCUACAUAGCAUGGAUAAGUCGAUGGGCUGCCUACUACCAAGCAAGAGAGGACAGCUCUGCCAUGAAUGUAGCAAUAGUUUUUUUUAGUCUGGACUACAUUCUCUUCACACUGCUUCUCUUCAAGUUUUUUUUCUCCAGUAGAUUCUUGGGACCUUUACUUUUGAUGAUAAUUGAAAUGAUUAGUACCAUGGGCAAAUUUUUACUGAUUUUGCUAGUGAUUUUCAUAGCAUUUGCUAUUGCCUCUGAAUCAGUUCUGUAUCCCAAGACUCAAAUCAACUCCUUGUUGGUGUACCACAUAUUUAGAAAGGCCUACUGGAUACUGUUUGGGGAAUUCUUUUUAGAGGAAAUAGAAAUCAGAGACAUGCAAAGUGAUCAAUGUACGAAUGACCCUGAGAAGUACAACCACUACGCCUCUCUUCGAUGCCCUUCGUACCUGGGCAGUUACUUUGUGCCUAUCUUGAUGGGAGUCUAUGUCAUGAUUGCCAAUGUGCUUCUCUUUAAUCUGCUAAUAGCCAAGUUUAAUUCAACCAUUGAACACAUUGAGAAAAAUGCUGAAGUGAUCUGGCAGUUACAGAGGUUCCAGUUGACCAGGGACUACUCUAAGAAGACCAUACUGGCCCCUUGUUUCUUACCAAUCACUCUAAUUAUCCUUUUGACCACCAAAUCCAGAGCAGACAUAUUCAAAAAAAGGAUACCAAAUGAACGCAUGACAAAAGAACUCAUUCUACUGGAGCGACUAGUUGUAGACGAGACCAGUUCACAGAAAGAAAAAGUCGUUGUUCGAAGAUCAAUUCAUCAAGAUUUUCAAAACCACUCUUCGCCCAGUAGACCUAGAUACUUUACCAGUACGUCCGGGUGUCGAGAGCAAGAUGGCUCGAAGAUUUGGUUUCUACCUGCAGAGUUUGUUGGUUUUCAGCUCGCUUUUAGCAAUCGUAUUUUCAGAUGACUGUGUUCAGCUACAAAGUUCUGAAUACGAAAACAAAUAUUUCCAAAAGCUGAUGUGCACACUGAACCCUGCCUGUGGCACAUUCGAUGCUGCGACAUUUACACCAGAAACGAUUGAGCUCUACGAAGGAGACAAUCUUUUGGUCACAGCUUCUAAGCGAUCGAUGUACACCUUAACGAGGUUGGGCCAGGUCGUUGCUCAAGAUGUCUUUCGAAACACCAAUUGGAAUUCAGAACUUUCUUUCGGCAUCGCUGUACCGCAAGAAGGCGACAAACUCGUCACCUACAGGUGCACAGUUAAAGGGAAAUCCCAGAACGGAGAAUCGUUAACACUCACGACCACCUACUCUAGUGUCAAAGGCCCAAUAGGCGAACCAGUAAAUCCCCCCAACGAGCCUCAACCAGCUACAGAGAGAGACAGCAUGGCAACGGAACCCCCUAGAAUCGGUAGCGAAGAAACAAGACCCUGUUUGACUUUGACCGCUGGAUUGACCACACCAGUGUCGUCCCCUCGAAAUCCAACUGACCACUUUGUCUUCUCAUGCAGGGUCAGUAAAUGCAAUGAUGAGGACCAGUGGACGCUGACGUCCAUUAGAGCUAUCAAAAUGAAUGCUGCGGCGGAGGUCGCUUUAGGAAGCAUAGAGAGACCCCAGGGCGUCGCAGUAGCGUUGGCGAGGAAACCUUCAGAACAAAAUUUCAGAGUCACUGGUCUUCUGCGGGAUGAUGGUAGCAGCUUCCUGAACGCGGAGUGGGAUCGACCUGAUGGGAAUGACUACGGAGUUUACCGAUGUACAGUGACCUUCUCCAACAACCAGGCGAUGUCAAGGACAGUAUCUGAGAACAGUGAAUACCAGUCAACAACAAACUUCGUGAACUCUCUUUUGGGCACAAUAGGCGGCUUAACGAUACGACCACUUGUGUGACAUCGCCAAAUGAAACUCUAUUUUUGGACAUUGUUUAACUGUCACUGUCUUGAAUCGGCUGUGGUUUUGUGGAAAGAAAAACGGUGAAAAAAUACAGAAAUCUAAAAUAAUUAAAAUGCCUUUGGUUUUUAGCAA